GAUGAAGAACGCAGCAAAAUGCGAUAAGUAAUGUGAAUUGCAGAAUUCAGUGAAUCAUCGAAUCUUUGAACGCACAUUGCGCCCGCUGGUAUUCCGGCGGGCAUGCCUGUUCGAGCGUCAUUUCAACCCUCAAGCCCCCGGGUUUGGUGUUGGGGAUCGGCUCUGCCCUUCUGGGCGGUGCCGCCCCCGAAAUACAUUGGCGGUCUCGCUGCAGCCUCCAUUGCGUAGUAGCUAACACCUCGCAACUGGAACGCGGCGCGGCCAUGCCGUAAAACCCCAACUUCUGAAUGUUGACCUCGGAUCAGGUAGGAAUACCCGCUGAACUUAAGCAUAACAAUAAGCGGAGGA
rnacentral:misc_RNA from 1 species